CCGAGGUUAUAACUCCGCCCUCUGGUUACGCCUCGAGGUUAUAACCCCGCCCUCUGGCUCCGCCUCGAGGUUCUAGCCCCGCUCCUAGCUCUUCCUCGGUCUGUAACCUCUCCCGUAGCUCUUCCUUGAGGUUCCAGCCCCGCCCUCUGGCUCCUCCCCGACACUCUCUCCCCGCCCCAGGCUCCGCCCCGAGAUUGCAGCCCAGUCCCUAGGCCCGGUCCCCGACCUCCGGGCCUUCCCGGACAUCCCUUUCCAGCUGCGCGUUCGGAGUAUCCCGGAGCUGUUACUCAUUCCCGGCCUCCCGCGGUCUCGAGCGCUUUCCGGGUUAUUCAUCGCGGCCCCAACACCCUGUGGCCACCCGCCCUGACUCAGUUCCUUCUCGAAUUCCUCGACCCAGAGCCCCCCACAUUUUCCGGGGAAACCCUGUUCCAGGCGCAGGCGUUCGGGACCCAGCCCCUACCUGGGACGCAGGUGUGGAGCAGCAGCAGCAGCGGCAGCAGCGGCGGGUGACCCAUGUCGCGAGGGCAGCUCCUGUGCGCGGGGUCCCUGCACGUCUUCUCUCCUUCUGGCCUCAGGAAGGAGGCAGUUUUGUGGCCCCAGGGACUCCUCCCAGACGUUUUGCGAAAGAGCGAGUCAGCCCCAGAUGCGUGGGCGCCUCCCCCUCCUCCCGUACGAACCUCCUCCGCCACAAACUUCCCUUCCCGGGGCGCGGCCGGCUGGUGGUGAAGGGGCUGGCUCGGCCCUGACUCAUGGAGUUGUGAUCACAGCUCUGUCCCCAGAUUGCCUGGGUGCAAAUCCCAGUUCUCUCUCUUCCUAACGUGGGACCCGGGGCAAUCGCUCUCCACUGCUGUAAAAUGAGGAUAAAAACUUUGACGGUGAGGAUGCAGCAAGAAAAUGCCUUCCAUGAACCAGAGAGCAGGAUCUUGCCAGACACUAAAUCUACUGGUGCCUUGACCUAGGAUUUCCCAGCCUCCAGCACUGUGAGAAAUAAAUGUCUAUUGUUUAUAGGUA